CAUCUCACUCUGAGAUUUGUUAAUCAUUCUUCGCCAAUUCAAUUUUCAUCAAAACUCUUCUUCCCAACACCUUCAAUAUCUCUCUCUUUCUUUCUUUCUUUCUUCCUUCCUUCCUUCCUUCAUUUUCUCUCUCCUCUCUCAAGCAAACAACAAUGGAGAAUUCAUCCCAAUCUCUGGUAGAUUUCGGGGGAGUAAUCACCGAAUCAAAACGCAUAAUCAAUGCUCACUCCCGCCAUUUCUUAGCCCAUUCAGUUCUCUUCCUUCUUCCUCUCUCCUUCUCUCUUUCCGUCUUCCCUACUCUUCUUCACACCUUCACUUCCCCUCAACCCAAUCGCAUCGUCUCCCUCCUCCGCCAUAACUCCGCCGCACCUCCGAUUCUUCUCCACCCCACUUUUCAUCAACCCCACCAUAAAACCCUCGUUUUCUCUCUCCUCUUUUCUGCCUUUAUUCUCCUUUUCUCCCUCCUCGCUUUUGGGUCGAUUACAUUCUCUGUUCUUCAUGGCUUCUAUGGCAGACCCGUUAAGCUUGUUUCUGCGAUAGCCUCUCUUCUUCGCUCGUUUUUCCCUCUUUUGGUUACUUUUAUUGCUGCCCAGAUUGUGAUUUUUCUGAUUUUUGCGUUGUUUGGGGUUUUUGGCUAUUUGGGUGUCAAGGGAAUUGAGGUAAUUGAAGGUGAAUUUUCGUAUAAUUCUCCUUACUUUUAUGGGAUUUCUUUAAUUGGGGCGGUUUUAUUAGGGUUAGUUUUGGUUUAUGUUGGGGUGAAUUGGAUUUUGGUUAAUGUGGUUGUUGUGGUUGAAUCAAAAUGGGGGUUUCAACCCAUGGCUAGAAGCAAGGAUUUGGUGAGAGGGAUGAGAUGGGUGGCACUGUCUUUGAUUGUAUUCUUCGGCUUUUUCGAGCUCGUGUUGUUGUGGAUCAGUUUGGUUUCCGGGGGCGACUCCAUUGCAGUGGAGGAUGGGUGGAAUACAUGGGCCUUUGCUGUUAGAAUUAUGGCAACUACUGCUGUUUUAACGGUGCUUUUGCUUCAUGGAAUUGCUGCCGCUACGGUUUUGUAUAUCUAUUGUAAGGCUUUGCACGGCGAGUUAGCCAGGGAGAUUGCUCAUGAGUUUGCUGCUGAUUAUGUUAGCUUGCCCUUUGAUGAUCAGAAGGUCCCUCACAUUGUUUGUUAUGUGCAUUAAGCUAGUUUCUUCCUUUCAGGAACUAGCUUCCAACUUUCUUGGUGUAUUCUGGGUGUUAUGCUUCAGCUGCUAAUUUCUGAAGGCUGACAAAUUGGCAAGGACUGAUCUGCGACUUGCGAGGGGUGGCAUGUUUCUAAUUGCUGAUGAUAGUUUGGUGUUACCAAAUUCAAGUCUCCUUUAAAGUAUUGCUCUGCCAAAAUUAGCUCAUUUCUGCAGUAGCGUUCAUUGUUCAUAUGCUGUCUAAUCGACUAUAGUUUAGCUCUUUUUUUUUAUUCCCCUUAAAUCUUUAUAUCUUUUGUUAGCAGUUCUCCAUUAUCUCAUUGUAUCACUGAUGCUAUAUCCAUAGUCAGGUGUGAAAGUAAUAGACUUGAUUGUAACUUCUGUAAAAAAAAAAAAUCGAGACAAUGUAAGAAUUACUUUGUAUGAAGUUUAUGUUAUAAGAUCAAUGGAUGUACAUAAUAACUUGUUGAAUAAGUAA